UUGUAGGUAGUUCAAUUUUAUACUUUGUGUGGGCUAUUUCUAUUACAUUUCUUGUAUUAUUUAUUUCUAAUUUCUUAUUUUCUUGUUAACUGUUGUGAUUUAGCAACUUGUUUCUCUAGAAAUAAAAUAAAAUGUCAAAGACAAAGUUAUUCAGUUUCUUGCGUGAGUAUAUGUAUGUAUAUAACUGGCAGUGGAAUUUACUGCGAUGCAAGGGGGGCGCCACCUAAAAUCUUGCCUAGGGCGCCAAAUUGGUUAGGGCCGGGCCUGUCAUACAGGUAUACAGACUCGCAGACAGGUAUACAGACUCGCAGACAGGUAGAUAGACUCACAGACAGGUUAGAUAAGACUCACAGACAGGUUAGAUAGACUCACAGACAGGUUAGAUAGACUCACAGACAGGUUAGAUAGACUCACAGACAGGUAGAUAGACUCACAGACAGGUAGAUAGACUCACAGACAGGUUAGAUAGACUCACAGACAGGUUAGAUAGACUCACAGACAGGUUAGAUAGACUCACAGACAGGUAGAUAGACUCACAGACAGGUUAGAUAGACUCACAGACAGGUUAGAUAGACUCACAGACAGGUUAGAUAGACUCACAGACAGGUUAGAUAGACUCACAGACAGGUAGAUAGACUCACAGACAGGUAGAUAGACUCACAGACAGGUUAGAUAGACUCACAGACAGGUAGAUAGACUCACAGACAGGUAGAUAGACUCACAGACAGGUAGAUAGACUCACAGACAGGUAGAUAGACUCACAGACAGGUUAGAUAAGACUCACAGACAGGUUAGAUAGACUCACAGACAGGUAGAUAGACUCACAGACAGGUUAGAUAGACUCACAGACAGGUUAGAUAGACUCACAGACAGGUAGAUAGACUCACAGACAGGUAGAUAGACUCACAGACAGGUAGAUAGACUCACAGACAGGUAGAUGACUCUGAAGCUCGUCUCUUCAGCUGUC